GGGGUCGACUGGUUUUGACAGCGAGAUUUAUUAGGUAGUAAGCACGUCGUGUAAUGAUUUUGAAACACGUAAAAGGCUAGAUCAAAUUUUAAACGGCGAGAAUAACUACGCUUUAGCUGCUUAAUUCUGAAUUACAGUAAGAAUUUGCCUUUGUCCUACUAGGUAGGAAAGCUAAAUGUCUCUUGAAAGCCCUGGUCAGCGGCGUUCUAAUUAGAGGCAUCGUAAAAGUUGACAUAGAAAGUGAAGCGCUUUGAUUUGCUUUUGAAACUUAAGAAGAUAAGUUGUGAGUAGAGUGUUUUUAAUCAGCUUACAAUCGAAAACCAUGAAAAAACUAAACGUGUAGAAGGCUAUUUGGUGACUUGUUUGGACGAGAGUUCGAUUCUCUCCGACUCCAC
rnacentral:tmRNA from 1 species